AUCAGGUUGCUCCAAGCCCCGUUUAAGAAUUUCUUCCAUUGCUUAUUCCCUCUGGAUUUGGACUCCGUCACCUUCAGCGUACACUGGCUCCGUGCAGGGGCAUCUUGCUCAGCCUCUUCACAUAGUUCAGAAAUAAAUUUUCAGUCCUAACAACUCUUUGCUAAGGGAAUAGAGCUGUGUGGGUUGCACUCAAUGAUCUUAGGGGUCUGUUCCACUCUGAACCAUCGUAUGGUUCAAUAUUGUGUUGCAGAAUAAUCCCCCGCUGCCCUUUUAACUCUGGGUAGAAACCCUGAGUUAAGUGAACCUGUCAUGGUAGGUCACUGUGGGAUGUUGUAGUCAACAGGCUUUCCUGCAGGUUGCUCCAGUACUUGUGGAAUUGAUUAAAGUGUAAAUGGGAUGUUUGCUGGACAAGAUAAAGAACAACUGGAAUCAUCUUUACAUGCAGUGCUUCUCAGAAGUUUAGAUAAUUUGACAACAUUUGACGUAAUUUGCCUUUAAAAGUCUGAGGUUGUUUUCACCAGAAUAGUUGAGGUGAUUGUGAUGUUGCAUUUAGAGGUAUUUAUGACCUUGAUCUUUUUAUCACAAUAAAGGAAGUGGAAGGAAGAGCAAACAAAGCUUUUGACAAAAUAUAAAGGACCUUAAUACUCAUGUUAUGGGUUUUGAACAAGCCACACUUUCCACUGGAGUUGGUGAAGAGGGAGGACAGGAGGAGGAGAGAAGCACAUGUGGAGCUUGUUCCAAGCCCAGGUUCAACCCUUAAAUCCAGAACACUCUGUGUUUCCUUUGUGGGUGAGUUGUGUGAAACGAAUCCACGGUCUCAGUCUCACUGGCAGAGCAGUUGUCACUCUUGGAGCUGUAAAGGACGUCCCAGUGUAACAAUGGCACUGCAGUCAGCCAGCCGCGUUCCUGGUGUGCAGCUCGGAGAUGGGAAGAGCUGGGAGCAGCAGGAGCACGCAGGGAUCUGUCCGAGCUCCAGGUACCUCUGCAGCCCGGGCAGAGCGUUGGGAGGAGGGCGGGAGCACGGCGUGUCCAUCCCCCCGGCCGGGCCGGGCUCUGCUCUGUCCCCAGCGUGGUCCCCGCGUAGGGCCGGCUCCGGUUUCUAUUGCAGCAAUCAAAGCCACAAGUCGCUCUCAAGACAAGCUCGCACGGAGCAAAUGCAAAUACAGCUGCGCUGCUGUUUGUGUAAAUCACCCAGGGCGUGCCCGGCACUCGGGCUGGAGGGUUAACACACCAAUGGCUGCAUUAAUGAUUGCUGCAAAACAUGCAGAGUCCUUCCUCGGGCUGACCCAGUAAUGUCAAGACCUGCUUGUGUGAUUGCAGUCACAGCUCAGAGAGCACACACAGCCUCACAGAGGCCUUUUGUUCCUGCCUGGCUGGAGCACGGGGAUCCACUCUGGGACACUGGGCAGACACAGCUUGGAGCUUUCAGUGUGCUACUCCACGUUUGUGCUCGAGGUGUGAGCCAAGAGCUGCGUGUUACAACACAAGGACUCGGACCAGCGGGCCCUGGACAGCUUCAGUCUGGAUCUAGGGAUGGGAACAGCUGAUCUGUAUCAUCCCACCAGCCCCGCUGGCAUGGCACCAUUUUAAAAGCAGAAUUCUGACCACUUUUCCCCCUGCCACCCCAGACUUUCUGCAGCCACAGUCCAUGCUCUCUUGUCCUAAUCCCUCUCCUAGAAGCCGAAGUCCAGCCCUCCUGAGCACAGGAGAUGUGGGGGUCACUGAGUGCUGGCAGUCCCAGAGUCACUGUUCUUGGGUGAAGGUCUCCCCUCCUUCAGGCUGUGUUGGAGUUUGGUGUCUGGCCACGGGCAGCUACCCUGGAGAACCUGUGUGGAGUGACUUGGGGGUCUGGGUAGAUGGCAGCCUCCAGAAGACACAGGCCUGUCUCGUGGGGACUUUGUCCAUGGGAAGAGCUCCUCCACCAGGAACUGUGGUAACAACGCUCCGUCCUCUGGUGGGGACACAGGAUUGAUGUGCCAGCUGCAGAGACACUCCCUCCAAGGGGAUCCUGGAGCCCCCAGAGCCGAGGUGGCCUCACUCAGGCCCCGCUGCUCUGGCUGUGACACUCGGAGCCACCUGGAGCCGCGGUGUCCAGCGGGCUCUGGGCUGUUUCCUUCCUCAAAACUUCACCCUGAAGCAACGGCUCGAACAGUUCACCGUCGAAAAGUUUCACUUCCCAAAUAGUGCCGUGCUAUAAAUACCCUGUGCAGUGGGAUAUGACAUUUACUCCCACACACGAGGCAGGCGUGCUUUGUGCCUUGCGUACUCCAGGCCUUAACCCGUGAGUAAACACGAGGAGAAGGAUGAUCCCGGUGGAGGGAGCCCAGCUUGGCCUGAUCCUCAUUCCUGCUGUCAUGUGUGAAUACAGAUGGAGGGAGAUACAUCCAGGGGUGCAGAGCUGGGCAUGGACCAAGGGCAGCAUGUCCAAAGUCUUCCCCCCCUACAGGAGCCUGCAAGAAACUAUUCCUCUUCCUGGAACAUAAAAAGGAGAAUUAUUUCCUUCCCCAGGUUAGAGGAAAUCUAGAAAAUAGGAUCUCUGAGGGAGGAGUGAAAGAAUUGUUUGGUCCAGAGGAGCCAAGCCUGGGACAGCUGGGGAUGAACUGACCUCCAGCCUCCCCUUCACAGCUGCACUUCCUGCCCUGCUGGGAGAACCCUCCUCAACAAACAAAAGGCUGCCACGGAAAAGAAGGGAAUAAACUGCUCAGGGCCUGCCUGGAGAG